rnacentral:rRNA from 1 species
AGUGAACGCUGGCGGUAGGCCUAACACAUGCAAGUCGAACGGCAGCACAGUAAGAGCUUGCUCUUACGGGUGGCGAGUGGCGGACGGGUGAGGAAUACAUCGGAAUCUACUUUUUCGUGGGGGAUAACGUAGGGAAACAUACGCUAAUACCGCAUAUGACCUACGGGUGAAAGCAGGGGAUCUUCGGACCUUGCGCGAUUGAAUGAGCCGAUGUCGGAUUAGCUAGUUGGCGGGGUAAAGGCCCACCAAGGCAACGAUACGUAGCUGAUCUGAGAGGAUGAUCAGCCACACUGGAACUGAGACACGGUCCAGACUCCUACGGGAGGCAGCAGUGGGGAAUAUUGGGCAAUGGGCGCAAGCCUGAUCCAGCCAUACCGCGUGAGUGAAGAAGGCCUUCGGGUUGUAAAGCCCUUUUGUUGGGAAAGAAAAGCAGCAGGUUAAUACCCCGCUGUUCUGACGGUACCCAAAGAAUAAGCACCGGCUAACUUCGUG